CUAGAGUUGAAGCAAGAACAAACAUCAAAUUUAUGGGGAAGCUUGGGUAGAACAAUGGUAAAAUCACUGAUGCUUUAUGAAAAAUUUAUUGGGACAAUGCACCAAAGCAAUCAGCAGUUUACAAAUGGGUAAUUCAUUUUAAGAAGGGAGGAGAUUAUGUAAAAGAUGAAGCCUGCAAUGACAGACCUUCACAUCAGUUUGCAAGGAAAAAACUCACCUUGUUCAUAACCUCAUUCAAGAGGCCUAACAAUUAGUAGGAGAAACAAUAGCCAACACCAUAGAAAACUCAAAUCUCAUAGCUUACACAAUCUGACUGAAAAACUAAAGUGGAGCAAACUUUUCACUCAACAGGUGCCAAAACCAUUGUACCCAGAUCAACUGCAAACAAGAACAGAGUUUUAAUGGAAAUUUUAAACAAGUAAGAUGAAAAUCCUGAAGCAUUUCUUUCAAGAAUUGUAACAGGAGAUGAAACAUGGCUUUACCAGUAUAAUCCCGAAGACAAAGUACAAUCAGAGCAAUGGCUACCAAGAGGUGGAAGUGGUCCAGUCAAAGCAAAAGCAGACCUGCCAAGAGCAAAGGUCGUGGGAAUAGUUUUUUGGGAUACUUAUUUUGCUUGUUGACUUUCUGAAGAGCCAAAGAACAAUAAUAUCUGCUUGUUUCAAGAGUGUUUUGAGAAAGUUUGCUAAAGCUUUAGCAGAAAAAUUCCUGGAAAAGCUUCACCAGUCUUUUUCUACCGCAACAAUGCUCCCACUCAUUCUUCUCAUCAAACAAGGGCAAUUUUACAAGACUUUCAAUGAGAAAUCAUUAGGCAUCGACCUUACAGUCCUAAUUUGGCUCUUUCUAACUUCUUUUUGUUUCCUAAUCUUAAAAAAUCUGCAAAGGGCUCCCAUUUUUCGUCAUUUAAUCAUGUAAAAAAGACAUGGUUAAAUUUCCAUGAAUCUCAAUUUUUUUAGGGAUGGAUUAAAUGACUGGUGUCAUCACUUACAACCAUGGUUGACCUCGAUGGAGCUUAUGUUGAGAAAUAAAGUUUAUAUUCUUUAUCUUUUAAUUCAAUUUUUCCAUGAACAUUUUGAAGUGCCUCAUAUUAUAAAUGAUAUUUCAUUGUUAGUGGUUCAUUAAUAGGGUAUUUAAAUACAAUUCUUUUUUAAUAUUAGUCCUGUACACUGAGAUCAUGUUUAAAAACCUAUUAGUUCUAGUAGUAUUUUAUAGAUUUCUUUUGAUUUUCUAUGUAUACAAUCAUGUUUCUCCAAAUAAAGAGUUUUAUUUUUUUCCUUCCA
rnacentral:lncRNA from 10 species